UAUAAAUAUCUUGUAUAUUUAUAAGAUUGGCAGUGUGGUUCUUGCUGGCUCUGGGUGACGAGAGAUCCCGAAAUCAAGAGAUUGAACCAAAAAACAACUCUUUUUAUAAGAGUUGUUUUUUUU
rfam:Mycoplasma capricolum subsp. capripneumoniae M1601 XDT01.1, whole genome shotgun sequence.